rnacentral:rRNA from 1 species
CACGUAGGGUGCGAGCGUUGUCCGGAAUUAUUGGGCGUAAAGAGCUCGUAGGCGGUGUGUCGCGUCGGCCGUGAAAACCUGCAGCUUAACUGUGGGCUUGCGGUCGAUACGGGCAUCACUGGAGUUCGGCAGGGGAGACUGGAAUUCCUGGUGUAGCGGUGAAAUGCGUAGAUAUCGAGAGGAACACCUGCGGCGAAGGCGGGUUGCUGGGCUGACACUGACGCUGGAGGCGCGAAAGCUAGGGGAGCGAACGGG